GGGGAUAUGAUUUGGCGAAGUAUUUGAUUGAUGGGGAUCCAAAGUUGAGACGAAAGAAAUCUGUUUCCGAAGUGAAAAAUCGAUUCCCCGAUGUUGUAAACCGAUGUCGAAUUCUUGCAGCAGACUAUUACGAGAAGCUCUUUAUGAUGUACUGCAAUGGAGAUGAUCCCUUUUUUGGACCAAUAUAAUUAAACUAUUUUCUAAUGUAUAUAAAAUUUUGAUCUUUUUUAUUUUGCAGCUUAUAAGUUUUCAUCAUGGCUUUGGCUGGAAUUAUUUUAAUACUUG
rnacentral:lncRNA from 1 species